rfam:Elusimicrobia bacterium GWA2_66_18 gwa2_scaffold_227, whole genome shotgun sequence.
CAGCGGGUGCAAGUCCCGUCCGGGCAGGCGUCGGAGCGCCCGGUAGCAGACCCCGGUUUCGACGAGAGAUCGUCGGGGCUGAGUGGGGUGUCGAAAGCCUCCUUAGGGAGGGAGCGAGUUCGCGGGCCGCAACAUCA